rnacentral:rRNA from 1 species
UGUGGCCAAGUUGUUAAGGGCACACGGUGGAUGCCUGGGCACCAGGAGCCGAUGAAGGACGUAGGAGGCUGCGAUAAGCCUCGGGGAGCUGUCAACCGAGCGUUGAUCCGAGGAUUUCCGAAUGGGGGAACCCCGCACCAGUCAUGUGGUGUGACCCGCGCCUGAACACAUAGGGCGUGUGGAGGGAACGUGGGGAAGUGAAACAUCUCAGUACCCACAGGAAGAGAAAACAACCGUGAUUCCGUGAGUAGUGGCGAGCGAAAGCGGAUGAGGCUAAACCGAUCGCAUGUGAUAGCCGGCAGGCGUUGUGUGGUCGGGGUCGUGGGACAGUUCAGUCACUUCUGCCGAGGUGGCAGGGAGUCAUAAAAGUCUGUGUUAGUGGAAGGCCUCUGGAAGGGGUCGCCGUAGAGGGUGAGAGCCCCGUACACGAAAACUCAGACUCUCCCGAGCUUGUUCCCAAGUAGCACCGAGCCCGUGAAAUUCGGUGUGAAUCUGGCGGGACCACCCGCUAAGCCUAAAUACUUCCUGGUGACCGAUAGCGGACUAGUACCGUGAGGGAAAGGUGAAAAGUACCCCGGGAGGGGAGUGAAAUAGUACCUGAAACCGUGUGCCUACAAGCCGUGAGAGCCUUAGGAUUUCGGUCCGGGGUGAUUGCGUGCCUUUUGAAGAAUGAGCCUGCGAGUUAGCGGUACGUGGCGAGGUUAACCCGUGUGGGGAAGCCGUAGCGAAAGCGAGUCCGAACAGGGCGUAUGAGUCGCGUGCCCUAGACCCGAAGCCGAGUGAUCUACCCAUGGCCAGGUUGAAGCGCGGGUAAGACCGCGUGGAGGACCGAACCCACCAGGGUUGAAAACCUGGGGGAUGAGCUGUGGGUAGGGGUGAAAGGCCAAUCAAACUCGGUGAUAGCUGGUUCUCCCCGAAAUGCAUUUAGGUGCAGCGUCACGUGUUUCUUGCCGGAGGUAGAGCACUGGAUGGCUGAUGGGCCCCACAAGGUUACUGACGUCAACCAAACUCCGAAUGCCGGUAAGUGAGAGCGUGGCAGUGAGACUGCGGGCGAUAAGGUUCGUAGUCGAGAGGGAAACAGCCCAGAUCAUCGGCUAAGGCCCCUAAGCGUGUGCUAAGUGGAAAAGGAUGUGGGAUCGCAGAGACAACCAGGAGGUUGGCUUAGAAGCAGCCACCCUUGAAAGAGUGCGUAAUAGCUCACUGGUCAAGUGGUUCCGCGCCGACAAUGUAGCGGGGCUCAAGCACACCGCCGAAGCCGUGGCAUUCACACGAUCGCCCGUCGGACUCCUUGAGGGUCUGGCCAGGUGUGUGGAUGGGUAGGGGAGCGUCGUGUGGCGGUUGAAGCGGCGGAGUGAUCCAGCCGUGGACGCCACACGAGUGAGAAUGCAGGCAUGAGUAGCGAGAGGGGAGUGAGAACCUCCCCCGCCGGAAGACCAAGGGUUCCUGGGCCAGGCUAAUCCGCCCAGGGUGAGUCGGGACCUAAGGCGAGGCCGACAGGCGUAGUCGAUGGACAACGGGUUGAUAUUCCCGUACCCGCGAAGGAACGCCCAUGCUGAACCCAGCGAUGCUAACCGACCCAAACCGGUCGUCCCACUUGUGGGCCGGCUGGGAGUAGCUCGGGACCCGGACUGGUAGUAGGCAAGCGAUGGGGUGACGCAGGAAGGUAGUCCUACCGGUGAGUGGUAGUACCGGUGCAAGGGUGUGGCCCGUGGGGUAGGUAAAUCCGUCCCACACACAGGGUGAGGCCUGACGCAUAGCCGAAUGAGGCGAAUUGGAUGAUCCUAUGCUGCCGAGAAAAGCCUCUAGCGAGUUCCGAGCGGCCCGUACCCCAAACCAACUCAGGUGGUCAGGUAGAGAAUACCGAGGCGAUCGAGCGAACUGUGGUUAAGGAACUCGGCAAAAUGCCCCCGUAACUUCGGGAGAAGGGGGGCCAUCUGCUGUGAACCGCCUUGCGCGGGGAAGCGGUGGGUGGUCGCAGAGACCAGUGAGAAGCGACUGUUUACUAAAAACACAGGUCCGUGCGAAGUCGUAAGACGAUGUAUACGGACUGACGCCUGCCCGGUGCUGGAACGUUAAGGGGACGGGUUAGCCGCAAGGCGAAGCUCAGAACUCAAGCGCCAGUAAACGGCGGUGGUAACUAUAACCAUCCUAAGGUAGCGAAAUUCCUUGUCGGGUAAGUUCCGACCUGCACGAAUGGCGUAACGACUUCUCAGCUGUCUCAACCACAGGCUCGGCGAAAUUGCACUACGAGUAAAGAUGCUCGUUACGCGCGGCAGGACGGAAAGACCCCGGGACCUUUACUAUAGCUUGAUAUUGGUGUUCGGUUCGGCUUGUGUAGGAUAGGUGGGAGACUGCGAAGCGGGCACGCCAGUGUUCGUGGAGUCGCCGUUGAAAUACCACUCUGG